rnacentral:miRNA from 1 species
UUUAGGGUUGCAGAGCCAGG